rnacentral:rRNA from 1 species
UACGUAGGCGGGUUGUUAAGUUAGAGGUGAAAUCCCAGGGCUCAACCCUGGAACUGCCUUUAAUACUGGCAACCUAGAGUUCGAGAGAGGUGAGUGGAAUUCCGAGUGUAGAGGUGAAAUUCGUAGAUAUUCGGAGGAACACCAGUGGCGAAGGCGGCUCACUGGCUCGAUACUGACGCUGAGGUACGAAAGUGUGGGGAGCAAACA